rnacentral:rRNA from 2 species
UACAGAGACUGCAAGCGUUAUUCGGAUUCACUGGGCGUAAAGGGUGCGCAGGCGGCCAGGUGUGUCAGGUGUGAAAGCCCGGAGCUUAACUCCGGAAUUGCGCCUGAAACUACUUGGCUAGAGCAUUGGAGAGGGUAGCGGAAUUCACGGUGUAGCAGUGAAAUGCGUAGAUAUCGUGAGGAACACCAGAGGCGAAGGCGGCUACCUGGACAAUUGCUGACGCUCAGGCACGAAAGCGUGGGGAGCAAAAGGG